UCCCAGCAUCGCGUCACGUCACCGUGCCAAAACCCCACCUCAGCUCCUGCCCCUCUUGGGGCUUUUGGUGAUCCCCACCAACAAAUAGAGCCAAAGAAACUCUGGAAAUUUGGGCGUUUAAUUCUACAAAGUUAAGAUACCUUCAAAUAAAUGCAGCAACUCGAUCAAGGAGAGGCCUUUCGCUAUGAAUAUGGAAGAAGUGAAUUUUGUGCAAGCGGAAGAUGCAAGACUGGAGACUACCCGAGCGAGAUUUUCAAAUGUCCUUAAAAGGCAUGGAGCACUAACAGAGCGCCUUUCUAGGUACAAAUGCUGGAGAUUACUUGUAAUUCCUACGUAUGGGAGAUAAAUUGAUUAGACAUUAAUGAU